GCUGACCACCUGAAUGUGAGCCUGCUGACGCAUCUGUUCAGCAGAUUUCAUCCCGAAACAGAUGUGGCUUCUGUAAACAGAAUUAGACGACAUGGCAAAGGACGUCACUGGCUGAACAAAAAGAAAAUCACAUCCAGGCGUCAUGAUUCUUCAGUGCAGAGCUGACCCACUUCCUAAAGCAAUACGUCACUGAAAGGACAUCACAGCACAUCUGUGGGUCAUGCACAGUUCAAUCGCUGCAAAGUGUACGUCUGAUCACGAGAUGGCAGCAAAUACAUGUACAAUAGCUGGUAAGAAAACGUAAGAAAGGGUAAACAGAGAAGAAGAGGGUUUUUUUUUGUUGUUGCUUUUUUUCCCUUGCUUUUAUGCACACUGUUGACAGUGACUGAUGACUUUCUGAUAAGAACCAUAAUCCUUGGUCUAAUUAUUUCUACUGACAACUGAAAACCUCAAACAGUGAAAAUUGUGCCCUCAAUCAUAUUUCCCUUUCUGCCAUUUCUGCUGUUGCUACUGGGAUCUAAAUAUAUGGAGACCUUCAAUUAAACCUCUCA